ACGAACGCUGGCGGCGUGCUUCACCCAUGCAAGUCGAACGGAAAGGCCCUGCUUGCAGGGUACUCGAGUGGCGAACGGGUGAGUAACACGUGGGUGAUCUGCCCUGCACUUCGGGAUAAGCCUGGGAAACUGGGUCUAAUACCGGAUAGGAGCCAUUUUUAGUGUGAUGGUUGGAAAGUUUUUUCGGUGUAGGAUGAGCUCGCGGCCUAUCAGCUUGUUGGUGGGGUAAUGGCCUACCAAGGCGGCGACGGGUAGCCGGCCUGAGAGGGUGGACGGCCACAUUGGGACUGAGAUACGGCCCAGACUCCUACGGGAGGCAGCAGUGGGGAAUAUUGCACAAUGGGCGCAAGCCUGAUGCAGCGACGCCGCGUGGGGGAUGACGGCCUUCGGGUUGUAAACUCCUUUCGCUAGGGACGAAGCUUUUUGUGACGGUACCUAGAGAAGAAGCACCGGCUAACUACGUG
rnacentral:rRNA from 1 species